rnacentral:lncRNA from 1 species
UGGAAACACCAACUGCUGUACAUGUCUAAAUUAUCCAUGCAAUGUUUUACAGGACUGUUAUUUACAUUGUAACACACAAUGGAUACUUCCGAGAGUAUCUGAUCGGCACAACCAAGUCAAAUGAAUCUUCAUGGUUGUUGGAGCGUGAAUUUAAUCUCCUGGAUGCUUAUUCGGGUAGUCCCAAGCAGAACGAGCUGCACAUAGACUGACUUGUAAUGCUCGCUCCUCUGACCGGAACCUGAGCAUCUCCAACAGAAGUUCUAUAUUUGAGUCCUUAAAAUUAAAAUAUGACCUGAUUUAAAGUGUUUAGGGCUAUAAAACUGUUUGUAACUCCAACAAUUGAGUUCUAUAUCAUAUUAUUAGGAAAUAAAUCAUGUUAUUUAGGAAAUAAAAGAUUAAAAAUAGUGUAGAAAAUGAAGAUAUGGCUCUAGUAGAUGGGGUACUAUAUUUAAGACCCGGGAGACUGAGCCCUAUAACUGUUUGAUGAGUUUUUAUAAAAUAGGACCCCUGUUGGAGUAUGUUGGAGUAUGUUUCUGGUGUUAGGGUCCUAUAUUUCAAAAUAGGAUCCUAUUUAGGACUCUUGUUGGAGAUGCUCUAUAGGUGAUUAUAUCUUGGGCCUUGACUUAACCGGUCAUUGGGACUAACUUCAACUGUACAUAGUAUAGAGGUGUUCAUCACUGGUGGGAAUCUACAUGUUGCGGCUCGUGGCGCGUGUAAAUUAUCAUACAAGUGGACAGCAAGUUUGGUGCAAUGCAUAAAAAGCUU